ACGGGAGGCAGCAGUAGGGAAUCUUCCACAAUGGACGAAAGUCUGAUGGAGCAACGCCGCGUGAGUGAUGAAGGAUUUCGGUUCGUAAAACUCUGUUGCGAGGGAAGAACAAGUAGCGUAGUAACUGGCGCUACCUUGACGGUACCUCGUUAGAAAGCCACGGCUAACUACGUGCCAGCAGCCGCAGUAAUACGUAGGUGGCAAGCGUUGUCCGGAUUUAUUGGGCGUAAAGCGCGCGCAGGUGGUUUCUUAAGUCUGAUGUGAAAGCCCACGGCUCAACCGUGGAGGGUCAUUGGAAACUGGGAGACUUGAGUGCAGAAGAGGAAAGUGGAAUUCCAAGUGUAGCGGUGAAAUGCGUAGAGAUUUGGAGGAACACCAGUGGCGAAGGCGACUUUCUGGUCUGUAACUGACACUGAGGCGCGAAAGCGUGGGGAGCAAACAGGAUUAGAUACCCUGGUA
rnacentral:rRNA from 1 species